CUUCAACUUCAUGGGGGACUCCUUUGACAGGACUAGAGUUUGUGAAUUGAUUCAACUCUAAGGAAUCUGUUUCAUCGGCCAAAACUAAUAGGCAUGCUAUCCUUUGACUAAUCUUUCCUGGCAUUUUGAAAGAGCCACCAUUGCCUGUUUGACAGUUGACCAUUACAAGCAAAUUCCUUAUACCUCCAUUGUUGUUUAUGCAAACAUUGUAUACUUCAAAAAGUGUAUUCUUACUGCUGUUUGAUGGAAUUCCUUAGUUAAAAAUAAAGAUGGCCAAUGGGCCGGGCGG
rnacentral:lncRNA from 1 species